rnacentral:siRNA from 1 species
UGGUGUAAGUGACUGUGUUGC